GACAAAAUGCCCUACCCAGAAAUACUAUGUCAACUUCACAUCUCACUUGUAUCACCAUAAUGUAAAAACUGUGAAUUCCUAGUGUACAAUCCUCACAGCACAACUGCAUCUGGAAAAGUCAUAUCUAAGGAUUCUCUCUUACUACUCAUUAUUUAUUGACUACAGUUUUUAAACCAUUCUUCUUAAUUUAUUAAUAGUCAUGGAAAAUGUAUCUUCCACCCUCCCUUGGGGGAAUGAGCAGUAUUUUACAUCAUUGCUCCACCUCCGUCACAGACAGAGAAAACCAGAAUUAGCCGAAAUUGUUGACUUUUCUACCAAUCAAAAUCUAGCAACCACAAUAACCUCAGGGUAGCCUGUAUAACAUCACCCUGUAUAUAUAUUAAGUUGAUAUGCCACUCAAACACUACAUCUGUUAGAGCUCAAAACAACCCUUUCACUCUAUAUAGGCUUCACUAACAUUAGCUAAAGCUAUGGAUUUUGCAAAGAAAACAACAGAGCAGGCACAAGGUGAUGUAAAGAAAGCAGGUACAGAAGUUGAGAAAGUUGUGCAACAAGGAGUGGAAAAAGUCAAAGAAGUUGCA